AGACCCGAAACCCGGUGAUCUAGCCAUGGGCAGGUUGAAGGUUGGGUAACACUAACUGGAGGACCGAACCGACUAAUGUUGAAAAAUUAGCGGAUGACUUGUGGCUGGGGGUGAAAGGCCAAUCAAACCGGGAGAUAGCUGGUUCUCCCCGAAAGCUAUUUAGGUAGCGCCUCGUGAAUUCAUCUCCGGGGGUAGAGCACUGUUUCGGCAAGGGGGUCAUCCCGACUUACCAACCCGAUGCAAACUGCGAAUACCGGAGAAUGUUAUCACGGGAGACACACGGCGGGUGCUAACGUCCGUCGUGAAGAGGGAAACAACCCAGACCGCCAGCUAAGGUCCCAAAGUCAUGGUUAAGUGGGAAACGAUGUGGGAAGGCCCAGACAGCCAGGAUGUUGGCUUAGAAGCAGCCAUCAUUUAAAGAAAGCGUAAUAGCUCACUGGUCGAGUCGGCCUGCGCGGAAGAUGUAACGGGGCUAAACCAUGCACCGAAGCUGCGGCAGCGACACUGUGUGUUGUUGGGUAGGGGAGCGUUCUGUAAGCCUGUGAAGGUGUGCUGUGAGGCAUGCUGGAGGUAUCAGAAGUGCGAAUGCUGACAUAAGUAACGAUAAAGCGGGUGAAAAGCCCGCUCGCCGGAAGACCAAGGGUUCCUGUCCAACGUUAAUCGGGGCAGGGUGAGUCGACCCCUAAGGCGAGGCCGAAAGGCGUAGUCGAUGGGAAACAGGUUAAUAUUCCUGUACUUGGUGUUACUGCGAAGGGGGGACGGAGAAGGCUAUGUUGGCCGGGCAACGGUUGUCCCGGUUUAAGCGUGUAGGCUGGUUUUCCAGGCAAAUCCGGAAAAUCAAGGCUGAGGCGUGAUGACGAGGCACUACGGUGCUGAAGCAACAAAUGCCCUGCUUCCAGGAAAAGCCUCUAAGCAUCAGGUAACAUCAAAUCGUACCCCAAACCGACACAGGUGGUCAGGUAGAGAAUACCAAGGCGCUUGAGAGAACUCGGGUGAAGGAACUAGGCAAAAUGGUGCCGUAACUUCGGGAGAAGGCACGCUGAUAUGUAGGUGAAGUCCCUCGCGGAUGGAGCUGAAAUCAGUCGAAGAUACCAGCUGGCUGCAACUGUUUAUUAAAAACACAGCACUGUGCAAACACGAAAGUGGACGUAUACGGUGUGACGCCUGCCCGGUGCCGGAAGGUUAAUUGAUGGGGUCAGCGCAAGCGAAGCUCUUGAUCGAAGCCCCGGUAAACGGCGGCCGUAACUAUAACGGUCCUAAGGUAGCGAAAUUCCUUGUCGGGUAAGUUCCGACCUGCACGAAUGGCGUAAUGAUGGCCAGGCUGUCUCCACCCGAGACUCAGUGAAAUUGAACUCGCUGUGAAGAUGCAGUGUACCCGCGGCAAGACGGAAAGACCCCGUGAACCUUUACUAUAGCUUGACACUGAACAUUGAGCCUUGAUGUGUAGGAUAGGUGGGAGGCUUUGAAGUGUGGACGCCAGUCUGCAUGGAGCCGACCUUGAAAUACCACCCUUUAAUGUUUGAUGUUCUAACGUGGACCCGUGAUCCGGGUUGCGGACAGUGUCUGGUGGGUAGUUUGACUGGGGCGGUCUCCUCCUAAAGAGUAACGGAGGAGCACGAAGGUUGGCUAAUCCUGGUCGGACAUCAGGAGGUUAGUGCAAUGGCAUAAGCCAGCUUGACUGCGAGCGUGACGGCGCGAGCAGGUGCGAAAGCAGGUCAUAGUGAUCCGGUGGUUCUGAAUGGAAGGGCCAUCGCUCAACGGAUAAAAGGUACUCCGGGGAUAACAGGCUGAUACCGCCCAAGAGUUCAUAUCGACGGCGGUGUUUGGCACCUCGAUGUCGGCUCAUCACAUCCUGGGGCUGAAGUAGGUCCCAAGGGUAUGGCUGUUCGCCAUUUAAAGUGGUACGCGAGCUGGGUUUAGAACGUCGUGAGACAGUUCGGUCCCUAUCUGCCGUGGGCGCUGGAGAACUGAGGGGGGCUGCUCCUAGUACGAGAGGACCGGAGUGGACGCAUCACUGGUGUUCGGGUUGUCAUGCCAAUGGCACUGCCCGGUAGCUAAAUGCGGAAGAGAUAAGUGCUGAAAGCAUCUAAGCACGAAACUUGCCCCGAGAUGAGUUCUCCCUGACCCUUUAAGGGUCCUGAAGGAACGUUGAAGACGACGACGUUGAUAGGCCGGGUGUGUAAGCGCAGCGAUGCGUUGAGCUAACCGGUACUAAUGAACCGUGAGGCUUAACCUU
rnacentral:rRNA from 1 species